rnacentral:rRNA from 1 species
GACGAACGCUGGCGGCGUGCUUAACACAUGCAAGUCGAACGGAAAGGCCCUGCUUUUGUGGGGUGCUCGAGUGGCGAACGGGUGAGUAACACGUGAGUAACCUGCCCUUGACUUUGGGAUAACUUCAGGAAACUGGGGCUAAUACCGGAUAGGAGCUCCUGCUGCAUGGUGGGGGGUGGAAAGGUUCGGCGGUUGGGGAUGGACUCGCGGCUGAUCAGCUUGUUGGUGGGGUAGUGGCUGACCAAGGCUUUGACGGGUAGCCGGCCUGAGAGGGUGACCGGCCACAUUGGGACUGGGAUACGGCCCAGACUCGUACGGGAGGCAGCAGUGGGGAAUGUUGCACAAUGGGCGGAAGCCUGAUGCAGCAACGCCGCGUGCUGGAUGACGGCCUUCGGGUUGUAAACCGCUUUCGCCUGUGACGAAGCGUGAGUGACGGUAAUGGGUAAAGAAGCACCGGCUAACUACGUG